rnacentral:rRNA from 1 species
GAUGAACGCUGGCGGCGUGCCUAAUACAUGCAAGUCGAGCGAACAGAUGAGGAGCUUGCUCCUCUGACGUUAGCGGCGGACGGGUGAGUAACACGUGGAUAACCUACCUAUAAGACUGGGAUAACUUCGGGAAACCGGAGCUAAUACCGGAUAAUAUAUUGAACCGCAUGGUUCAAUAGUGAAAGACGGUUUUGCUGUCACUUAUAGAUGGAUCCGCGCCGCAUUGGAUAGUUGGUCAGGUCACGGCUUACCAAGGCAACGAUGCGUAGACGACCUGAGGGGGUGAUCGGCCACCCUGGAACUGAGACACGGUCCAGACUCCUACGGGAGGCAGCAGUAGGGAAUCUUACGCAAUGGGCGAAAGCCUGACGGAGCAACGCCGCGUGAGUGAUGAAGGUCUUCGGAUCGUAAAACUCUGUUAUUAGGGAAGAACAAAUGUGUAAGUAACUAUGCACGUCUUGACGGUACCUAAUCAGAAAGCCACGGCUAACUACGUG